rnacentral:rRNA from 1 species
CCUACGGGAGGCAGCAGUGGGGGAUAUUGCACAAUGGGGGAAACCCUGAUGCAGCGACGCCGCGUGUGGGAAGACGGUCCUCUGGUUUGUAAACCACUUUCUCCAGGGACGAAGAUGACGGUAUCUGGGGAGGAAGCUCCGGCAAACUACGUGCCAGCAGCCGCGGUAAUACGUAGGGAGCGAGCGUUUUCCGGAGUUACGGGGUGUAAGGGGAGCGUAGGGGGGGAGGCAGGUUGCGUGUAAAAACUACCGGCUCAACUGGUAGUCGCUCUCGAAACUGCAGCUCUUGAGUGAAGUAGAGGCAGGCGGAAUUCCUAGUGUAGCGGUGAAAUGCGUAGAUAUUAGGAGGAACACCAGUGGCGAAGGCGGCCUGCUGGGCUUUUACUGACGCUGAGGCUCGAAAGUGUGGGGAGCAAACAGGAUUAGAUACCCCUGUAGUC